rnacentral:piRNA from 2 species
GAGCCGCCUGGAUACCGCAGCUAGGAA